rnacentral:rRNA from 1 species
UGGGGAAUUUUGGACAAUGGGCGCAAGCCUGAUCCAGCAAUGCCGCGUGAGUGAAGAAGGCCUUCGGGUUGUAAAGCUCUUUCAGUUGAGAAGAAAAGAUUGUAACUAAUAAUUACAGUUCAUGACGGUAUCAACAGAAGAAGCACCGGCUAACUACGUGCCAGCAGCCGCGGUAAUACGUAGGGUGCGAGCGUUAAUCGGAAUUACUGGGCGUAAAGGGUGCGCAGGCGGUUCUGUAAGUCAGAUGUGAAAUCCCCGGGCUUAACCUGGGAACUGCGUUUGAAACUACAAAGCUAGAGUGUGGCAGAGGGGGGUGGAAUUCCAUGUGUAGCAGUGAAAUGCGUAGAGAUAUGGAAGAACAUCGAUGGCGAAGGCAGCCCCCUGGGUUAACACUGACGCUCAUGCACGAAAGCGUGGGGAGCAAACAGG